GACGAACGCUGGCGGCGUGCUUAACACAUGCAAGUCGAACGGAAAGGCCCUGCUUUUGUGGGGUGCUCGAGUGGCGAACGGGUGAGUAACACGUGAGUAACCUGCCCUUGACUUUGGGAUAACUUCAGGAAACUGGGGCUAAUACCGGAUAGGAGCUCCUGCUGCAUGGUGGGGGUUGGAAAGUUUCGGCGGUUGGGGAUGGACUCGCGGCUUAUCAGCUUGUUGGUGGGGUAGUGGCUUACCAAGGCUUUGACGGGUAGCCGGCCUGAGAGGGUGACCGGCCACAUUGGGACUGAGAUACGGCCCAGACUCCUACGGGAGGCAGCAGGGGGGAAUAUUGCACAAUGGACGGAAGCCUGAUGCAGCAACGCCGCGUGCGGGAUGACGGCCUUCGGGUUGUAAACCGCUUUCGGCUGUGACAAAGCGUGAGUGACGGUAAUGGGUAAAGAAGCACCGGCUAACUACGUG
rnacentral:rRNA from 1 species